UGAUCUAUUUAUGGAGAGGCCUAGGCUGU
rnacentral:sRNA from 1 species